AUUAUUAGUUUAAAAAAUAGUACAGUGAUGUAUAGAUUAAGUUAAAUUUAAAAUUUUAUUUUGGUUUAUAGUUAUUAAUUAAGAGAUAAAUGUAUAAUAAUUAUAUUUUUAAAACUAAGUUUUAUUAACAUUUAAUAUUAAUUAGUUAAAGAAAUUUAAUUUUAAAUUAUUUUUUAUGUCAACUAACACAAGUGCCAGCAGUUGCGGUUAAACUUGUAACUAUUUAAUUGUCUCUACUUAAAUUAAAUUUUUAAAAAGCUAAAAGAAAAAAUUUUGGAGGUAAAAUUUAAUGUUUUAACUUCAUCUGUAAAAUUUAAAUUUUAAAAACUAAUUAAAACUAGGAUUAGAUACCCUACUAUAAGCUUAACAUUAAAAUAAAGUAGUAAAAGUUAAAUCUUCAAACUUAAAAAAUAUGGCGGUAUUUUAAGCUAAUUAGAGGAAUCUGCUCAUUAAUCGAUACUCCACGAACUAAUCUACGUAUAUUAAUUAAUUUAUAUAUCGCUGUUAAAUACAAAUUUAGAAAUUGAGUGUAAUUGUGUUAUAAACUCAAAAAUCAAGUCAACACAUAAUUUAUAAUGCGUAAAUUGUGGAUUACAUUUACUUUAAGUUAUUUUAAUAAUAAUUAAAACUUUUUGAGAUAGGAUUUAAAAUUAAAAUUUUAUAGGUUAAAAAUUUAAAUAAGUAAUAAAAUAUGUACAAAUUGCCCGUCGCUCUUAAUUAAAUUAAGAUAAGUCGUAACAAAGUAAGCUUACUGGAAAGUAAAUUUAGAAUUAA
rnacentral:ncRNA from 1 species